rnacentral:rRNA from 1 species
UACGUAGGGUGCAAGCGUUGUCCGGAAUUAUUGGGCGUAAAGAGCUCGUAGGCGGUCUGUCACGUCGGCUGUGAAAACCCGAGGCUCAACCUCGGGCCUGCAGUCGAUACGGGCAGACUAGAGUUCGGUAGGGGAGACUGGAAUUCCUGGUGUAGCGGUGAAAUGCGCAGAUAUCAGGAGGAACACCGGUGGCGAAGGCGGGUCUCUGGGCCGAAACUGACGCUGAGGAGCGAAAGCUGGGGAGCGAACAGG